ACGGAGGGCCGGAUGGCCGCGGGCCGCAAGGUCCGAGGAAAGUCCGGACUCCACAAGGCAACGGUGCCGGGUAACGCCCGGCGGGGGCAACCCCAGGGACAGCGCCACAGAGAACAGACCGCCGCGGGAUGCCGCGGCAAGGGUGAAACGGUGCGGUAAGAGCGCACCGCGGGACGGGCAACCGGACCGGCAUGGCAAGCCCCACCGGGAGCAAUGCCGAAUAGGAACCUCACGCGGGGCCGGUCGCGCAAGCGAUACCGCCGCAGGCCGCCUUGGCCCGGAGGUUCGGGUUGGCAGCUUGAGGCGCCGGGCAACCGUGCGUCCAGAGGAAUGGUCAUCGAACCGGGGGCAACCCCGGGGAACAGAAUCCGGCUUACAGGCCCUCCGUGCGU
rnacentral:RNase_P_RNA from 1 species